AUACGUAGGGGGCAAGCGUUGUCCGGAAUUAUUGGGCGUAAAGCGCGCGCAGGCGGCUGAUUAAGUCUCAUGUUUAAACGCGGGGCUCAACCUCGUGUCGGAUGGGAAACUGGUCAGCUUGAGUGCAGGAGAGGGAAGCGGAAUUCCACGUGUAGCGGUGAAAUGCGUAGAGAUGUGGAGGAACACCAGUGGCGGAGGCGGCUUUCUGGUCUGUAACUGACGCUGAGGCGCGAAAGCGUGGGGAGCAAACAGGAUUAGAUACCCUGGUAGUCCACGCCGUGAACGAUGAAUGCUAGGUGUCAGGGGUUUCGAUACCCUUGGUGCCGAAGUUAACACAUUAAGCAUUCCGCCUGGGGAGUACGGUCGCAAGACUGAA
rnacentral:rRNA from 1 species